rnacentral:rRNA from 1 species
GACGAACGCUGGCGGCGUGCCUAAUACAUGCAAGUCGAACGCAGUGGGGACGGGUGAGUAACACGUGGGUAACCUCCCAUCAGAGGGGAGAACACUUGGAAACAGGUGCUAAACCGAUACUGAUGGAUGGACCCGCGGUGCAUUAGCUAGUUGGUGAGGUAACGGCGCACCAAGGCCACGAUGCAUAGCCGCACUGAGAGUGAGAUCUGCCACACUGGGACUGAGCCACGGUCCAGACUCCUACGGGAGGCAGCAGUAGGGAAUCGUGGGCAAUGGACGAAAGGCUGACCGAGCAACGCAGCGUGAGUGAAGGAGGUUUUCGGAUUGUAAAACUCUGUUGGUAGAGAGGCGGUAUCUAACCAGAAAGCCACGGCUAACUCCGUGCCAGCAGCCGCGGUAAUAC